rnacentral:tRNA from 1 species
GCGGACGUGGCGAAAUUGGUAGACGCAAGGGACUUAAAAUCCCUCGACGCAAGUCAUACGGGUUCGAGUCCCGUCGUCCGCACCA